AUACAAAAGUAUUAAAACUACAAUUAAAUAAUAAAUUUUCAUUUCACUUGUAGAAAAAACAGUCGAGAUUAUUCUUUAUAAUAAUAAUCAUUUCAGGGAUAUGGUACUGCCAUCAAGAUUUUCCUUUCCGCAGAGCAUCUGCCUCGGGAAGUGCAGUCAAGAAUCGUGUGGGGCAUGCAGUCAGCCGGCUGGGGCAUGUUAAUUUGUCAUGAUGCCACUUGCUUACUAGUUCUGCUUGUGGUCCACUCAUCCGGCGACCAGCCAGGAACACUCGUGCUGCAUACGGAAAUUACACAACAAAUGGACUUUGGACUUUGGACACGGGACUGGAGCUGGCUGAGGCUGAUGUUCGUUUUUCUGGAAUCAGGAGAACAACCUGAAAUCUGGCCAAAUCCGAUUAAAUGCAAAUGGCCCCGCAACCCCGACGCACGUAGUCACACAUCCAUAGCGCAGAUUAGUUGCGUAAGUUAUCAGUGGGAAGUGAAAGGAGUGCG
ensembl:ncRNA lncRNA:CR44563 long non-coding RNA:CR44563